GUUCGAUUAUGGCUCAGACUUAACGCUGGCGGGAUGCUUUACACAUGCAAGUCGAACGGCAGCACGGACUUCGGUCUGGUGGCGAGGGCGAACGGUGAUAAUGUCGAACGCCUGGUAGCGGGGAGCAACUACAGCGAAAGCGUAGCUUAAUGUCAAUGCGCUAACACCUUCUGGGGAAAGCGGGGACCUUUCGGGCCUCGCAAUUAUUAGAGCGGCCGAUAUCGGAUUAGCUAGUUGUACGGGUAACGGCUCACCGGCGUCGCGAUCCGGUAGCUGGUUUGAGGAGGAUCGACCGUUCACACUGGGACUGAGACGUGCCCAGACUCCUACGGGAGGCGGCAGCGUGGGGAAUUUUGACAAUGGGGAACCCCGAUCCAGCCUAUCCUGCGCAUGAAGGCCUUUCGGGUUGUAAAGCACUUUGGCAGGAAAGAAACGGCACGGAUAAUACCCCGCGCAACCGACGGUACCUGCAGUGAAUAAGGCACCGCUAACCACGUGCCAGCAGCCGCGGCAUUGCCGUAGGGUGCAAGCGUUAAUCGGAAUACCGGCGUGAAGCGUGCAGGCGGUUCGGAAAGAAAGAUGAAAUCCCAGAGCUUAACUUUGAACUGCAUUUUUAACUACCGAGCUGUAGAGGUCAGGAGGGAGGUGAGGUCUGCGCGCAGCAGUGAAAUGCGUAGAUAUGCGGAGAGGAAGCACCCUGAUGGCGUGCUGUUGCAGCCUCCUGGGAUACCGUCGAUGUCGGCACGAAAGCGUGGAUAACAGGAUUAGAGCACUUAAGAACUGGUACGCUCAAACGAUGCAACUAGUUGUUGGGCUUUUCAAAUUUUGGUAGCGCAGCUAACGUUAUGAAGUUGACCGCCUGGGGAGUACGGUCGCAAGAUUAAACCUCCAAAGUUGAAUUGACGGGGAUCCGCAUACCAAGCGGUGGAUUAUGGAUUAAUUGAUGCAACGUUAAAAAACCUGCCCUACCCUUGACAUGUUUCUGGAAUCCCGAAGAUUGGGGAGCUGCAAGAGAACCGGAACACAGGUGCUGCAUGUAAAGGCCGGGCUCGGGUGGUGUGUCGCAUGGAGAUGUUGGGUUAAGUCCCGCAACGAGCGCAACCCUUGGCUGCCCAUUGCUGCCGAAAGGCACUCUACCGAGAUCAAGCCAGACAAACCGAGGAAGGUUGCGGGGAUGACGUCAAGUCCUCAUGGCCCUCGAGGGUAGGGCUUUCCAUAAUACAGUAUGGUCGGUCGGGACAGAGGGUCGCCAACCCGCUGAGGGGAGCUAAUCCAGAAACCCGACUGGUCCGGACUCCGCAGCCCGCACCCCUGACUGCAAGCUGAACGCUGCAUAGUAAUCGCGGAUCAGCAUGUUCGCGAAUACGUUCCCGGUCUUGUACACCGGCCCGUCACACCACAUGAGUGGGUUUUACCAGAAGUAGUUAGCCUAACCGGGCAAGGGAGGGCGAUUACCACGGUAGGAUUCCGAUGACUGGGGUGAAGCCGCAACAAGGUAACUC
rnacentral:rRNA from 1 species